rnacentral:rRNA from 1 species
CCCGCUGAACUUAAGCAUAUCAAUAAGCGGAGGAAAAGAAACUAACAAGGAUUCCCCUAGUAACUGCGAGUGAACCGGGAAAAGCUCAAAUUUUGAAUCUGGCGGUCUUCAGGCCGUCCGAGUUGUAAUCUAGAGAAGCGUCUUCCGCGCUGGACCGUGUAUAAGUUUCCUGGAAUGGAACGUCGUAGAGGGUGAGAAUCCCGUCUUUGACACGGACUGCCAGGGCUAUGUGAUGCGCUCUCGACGAGUCGAGUUGUUUGGGAAUGCAGCUCAAAUAGGGUGGUAAAUUCCAUCUAAAGCUAAAUACAGGCGAGAGACCGAUAGCGAACAAGUACCGUGAGGGAAAGAUGAAAAGAACUUUGGAAAGAGAGUUAAACAGUACGUGAAAUUGCUGAAAGGGAAACGCUUGAUGUCAGUCGCGUCGUCCGGGGAUCAGCCUUGCUCUUUUGCUUGGUGUACUUUCUGGUUAACGGGUCAGCAUCAAUUUUGACCGGUGGAUAAAGGUCAGGGGAAUGUGGCAUCUUCGGAUGUGUUAUAGCCCUUGGUUGCAUACAUCGAUUGGGAUUGAGGAACUCAGCAUGCCGCAAGGCCGGGUUUUUAACCACGUACAUGCUUAGGAUGCUGGCAUAAUGGCUUUAAUCGACCCGUCUUGAAACACGG